UACGGGAGGCAGCAGGUGGGAAUAUUGCACAAUGGGCGCAAGCCUGAUGCAGCCAUGCCGCGUGUAUGAAGAAGGCCUUCGGGUUGUAAAGUACUUUCAGUCGUGAGGAAGGUGUUAAGGUUAAUAACCUUAGCAAUUGACGUUAGCGACAGAAGAAGCACCGGCUAACUCCGUGCCAGCAGCCGCGGUAAUACGGAGGGUGCGAGCGUUAAUCGGAAUUACUGGGCGUAAAGGGCACGCAGGCGGUUAAUUAAGUUGGAUGUGAAAUCCCCGGGCUUAACCUGGGAAUGGCAUUCAAGACUGGUUAGCUAGAGUCUUGUAGAGGGGGUAGAAUUCCAUGUGUAGCGGUGAAAUGCGUAGAGAUGUGGAGGAAUACCGGUGGCGAAGGCGGCCCCUGGCAAAGACUGACGCUCAUGUGCGAAAGCGUGGGGAGCAAACAGGGAUUAGAUACC
rnacentral:rRNA from 1 species